rnacentral:rRNA from 1 species
GCGGCGUGCCUAAUACAUGCAAGUCGAACGAAGCUUUCUUUCACCGAAUGCUUGCAUUCACCGAAAGAAGCUUAGUGGCGAACGGGUGAGUAACACGUAGGCAACCUGCCCAAAAGAGGGGGAUAACACUUGGAAACAGGUGCUAAUACCGCAUAACCAUGAACACCGCAUGAUGUUCAUGUAAAAGACGGCUUUUGCUGUCACUUUUGGAUGGGCCUGCGGCGUAUUAACUUGUUGGUGGGGUAACGGCCUACCAAGGUGAUGAUACGUAGCCGAACUGAGAGGUUGAUCGGCCACAUUGGGACUGAGACACGGCCCAAACUCCUACGGGAGGCAGCAGUAGGGAAUCUUCCACAAUGGACGAAAGUCUGAUGGAGCAACGCCGCGUGAAUGAAGAAGGCCUUCGGGUCGUAAAAUUCUGUUGUCAGAGAAGAACGUGCGUGAGAGUAACUGUUCACGUAUUGACGGUAUCUGACUAGAAAGCCACGGCUAACUACGUGCCAGCAGCCGCGGUAAUACGUAGGUGGCAAGCGUUGUCCGGAUUUAUUGGGCGUAAAGGGAACGCAGGCGGUCUUUUAAGUCUGAUGUGAAAGCCUUCGGCUUAACCGAAGUAGUGCAUUGGAAACUGGAAGACUUGAGUGCAGAAGAGGAGAGUGGAACUCCAUGUGUAGCGGUGAAAUGCGUAGAUAUAUGGAAGAACACCAGUGGCGAAAGCGGCUCUCUGGUCUGUAACUGACGCUGAGGUUCGAAAGCGUGGGUAGCAAACAGGAUUAGAUACCCUGGUAGUCCACGCCGUAAACGAUGAGUGCUAAGUGUUGGAGGGUUUCCGCCCUUCAGUGCUGCAGCUAACGCAUUAAGCACUCCGCCUGGGGAGUACGG